rnacentral:rRNA from 1 species
AUUGAACGCUGGCGGCAUGCUUUACACAUGCAAGUCGAACGGUAACAGGGAGCUUGCUCCGCUGACGAGUGGCGAACGGGUGAGUAAUGCGUCGGAACGUGCCGAGUAGUGGGGGAUAACGCAGCGAAAGUUGUGCUAAUACCGCAUACGUACUGAGGUAGAAAGUGGGGGACCUUCGGGCCUCACGCUAUUCGAGCGGCCGACGUCUGAUUAGCUAGUAGGUGAGGUUAAGGCUCACCUAGGCGACGAUCAGUAGCGGGUCUGAGAGGAUGAUCCGCCACAGUGGGGCUGAGACGCGGCCCAGACUCCUACGGGAGGCAGCAGUGGGGAAUUUUGGACAAUGGGCGAAAGCCUGAUCCAGCCAUGCCGCGUGUCUGAAGAAGGCCUUCGGGUUGUAAAGGACUUUUGUCGGGGAGGAAAUCCCCAGCGCUAAUACCGCUGGGGGAUGACAGUACCUGAAGAAUAAGCACCGGCUAACUACGUGCCAGCCGCCGCUGUAAUAC